UAAAGGCGGGGAUCCUUCGGGACCUGUCGCUUUAGGAUAGGCCCAUAUCCUAUCAGCUUGUUGGUGAGGUAAUGGCUCACCAAGGCUUACGGGUAGCUGGUCUGAGAGGAUGGUCAGCCAGGACUGGGACUGAGACACUGCCCAGACUCCUACGGGAGGCUGCAGUCGAGAAUCAUUGUCAAUGCACGAAAGUGUGAACAUGCGACGCCGCGUGGAGGAAGACGGCCUUCGGGUUGUAAACUCCUGUCAGCAGGGAGUAAGGACAGCAUCGCUAAUAUCGGUGUUGUUUGAUAGUACCUGCAGAGGAAGUCACGGCUAACUCUGUGCCAGCAGCCGCGGUAAUACAGAGGUGGCGAACGUUGUUCGGACUUACUGGGCGUAAAGGGUCCGCAGGCGGUCCGGUGUGUCGGAUGUGAAAGCUCACAGCUCAACUGUGGAAAUGCAUUCGAAACUGCCGGACUAGAGUACUGGAGGGGAGAAGGGAACACUUGGUGUAGCGGUGAAAUGCGUAGAUAUCAAGUGGAACACCGGUGGCGAAGGCGCUUCUCUGGACAGAUACUGACGCUCAUGGACGAAAGCUAGGGUAGCGAAAGGGAUUAGAUACCCCUGUAGUCCUAGCCGUAAACGGUGUGCACUAGACGUGGGUGGCUUUACCCCCAUCCGUGUCUGAGCUAACGCAUUAAGUGCACCGCCUGGGGAGUACGGUCGCAAGAUUAAAACUCAAAGGAAUUGACGGGGACCCGCACAAGCGGUGGAGCAUGUGGCUUAAUUCGAUGCAACGCGAAGAACCUUACCUGGGCUUGACAUCUAGCUGCAUACGACCCGAAAGGGACGUAGCCUUCGAGGGUGCUAGACAGGUGCUGCAUGGCUGUCGUCAGCUCGUGCCGUGAGGUGUUGGGUUAAGUCCCGCAACGAGCGCAACCCCUGUGUCUAGUUGCCAUCAGUUCGGCUGGGAACUCUAGACAGACUGCUUGUGAAAGCAAGAGGAAGGUGGGGAUGACGUCAAGUCAGUAUGGUCCUUAUGUCCAGGGCUGCACACGU
rnacentral:rRNA from 1 species